GAUGAAGAACGUAGCGAAAUACGAUAAGUAAUGUGAAUUGCAGAAUUCAGUGAAUCAUCGAAUCUUUGAACGCACCUUGCGCCCUUUGGCCAUUCCGAAGGGCAUGCCUGUUUGAGUAUCAUGAACACCUCAACUCUUUAUGGUUUUCCAUGAUGAGCUUGGACUCUGGGGGUUUUGCUGGCUCACAGUCGGCUCCUCUAAAAUGAAUCAGCUUACCAGUGUUUGGUGGGUAUCAUGGAUGUGAUAACUAUCUACGCUUGUGGUUUUUCCACCAGGUAACCUUCAGCAGUGGAGGUUCGCUGGAGCUCAUAGAUGUCUCUCCUCAGUGAGGACAGCCCUUUGAAUGUUUGAUCUCAAAUCAGGUAGGACUACCCGCUGAACUUAAGCAUAUCAAUAAGCGGAGGA
rnacentral:misc_RNA from 1 species